AUAGUCUUUGUACGCUGCUAGAUGGAUGACUCGGUUCGAAACGCCGAUGAAGGACGUGACAAGCAACGAAAUGCCCUGGCGAGCUGAACGUAAGCUUUGAACCAGGGAUGUCCGAAUGAGACUUCUCCAUAGGGACCAGUCAUGGUCAGGGAACGCAGGGAAUUGAAGCGUCUUAGUACCUGCAGGAAAAAAAAUCAAUUGAGAUGCCGUAAGUAACAGCGAGCGAAAGCGGUCCAGUUCAAACUGAAUCCGUAAUAGUAAUAUUAUGGAAAUGUAGUGCGGUGGACUUCCUUUUAUACUGGCUUUCUGACUUGAAGUUUCCUGGAAAGGAAUACGAAACAGGGUGAUAGUCCCGUAAAGGUAGGAAAGUAGUAGUGGAAGUAUCCUGAGUACCAUUCCUCGAGAUUGGAAUGGGAAUCUGGAGGGCAUUAACCUCUAAAACUAAACACGUUUCGAAUCCGAUAGCGAAAGAGUACCGUGAGGGAACGUUGAAAAGAACCCUUGACAGGGAGUUAAAAGCAUCUGAAAUCUAGCAGCUAUAGUAUGUUAGUGCUCUAAGGAGUUCUAACGUGCUUUUUGAAUAAAGUGCCAGGGAGUGUAUCUAAGUGGCAAGGAUAACUUGAAAAAAGGUAUCCGAAGCGAAAGCAAGACCCCGCAGGUAACGAGGGGGAAGGUAUGAAAGUGCCUUAAGUCACUUGGGUACGACCCGAAGCUGGUCGAUCUACUCCUGAGUAAGGUGAAGCGAGGGUAAGACCUUGUGGAGGCCUGAAGAGUUUCUACGUGCAAGUGUUCUUCUAACUUGGGAGUAGGGGUGAAAAGCCAAUCGAGACCAGUGAUAUCGGGUUCCUGUCAAAAUUGACCUUAGUCAAUUCUCAGACGAGAUAGUUAAGGCUGUAGAGCGACGGAUACGGGAUUUAGGCGGGGAAACCUGUCGGUCCCCUGUCCAACUCCAAAUGCUUUGACAUUGUAGACUCCGGGAAACAGGGAAUGUUGGGGUAAACUUCAUUUCCGCAAGGGGAACAACCCAGCCUAUGGUUAAGGCCCCUAAAUGCUAACUAAGUGAUAAAGGGUAAACGGUGUUCAUGACCUGAGACAGCGAGGAGGUUGGCUUAGAAGCAGCCACCCUUUAAAAAGUGCGUAACAGCUUACUCGUUGAGAUCGUGAGCCCGGAAGAUUAACGGGUCUAAGUUAGCUGCCGAUACCAUAGACCACGAAAGUGGGGCUAGACAGGCGUCCUUUCAGGGCAGAAGCCUCUUCAUAAGAGGGGGUGGACCUGAAUGGAAUGAAUAUCCUGGUAGUAGUAGGAUCUUAGCAGAGUGAGAAUCUCUGUCAUCGUAAGGGCAAGGGUUCCUUGGCAAUGUCAAUCAGCCAAGGGUUAGUCGGUCCUAACCCAUCUCGUAAUGUGAGUUAGGGGAAAGGGAAAACGGUUAAUAUUCCGUUACUGUUUUUGUAUGCGUGGCAACACAAGCUUUGUUUCUAACGCUUUGGAAUAGGUCAACACCUCUCGUCGGGGAUGUUAAUAAGGAUAAAUCGCGGGAGUAUCAUAAUGAUGAGAACGUGAUUAAACCUUAGAUGAGCAGGCCUAUGGUCUGUUUGGCUGAUUUCUUGAGCCCCUGAAAAAGGAAUAAAGAAAAAUCAAGAACAUCCGUACUCAGAACCAGCACUGGUGCCCCUAGUUGAAAAGACUAAGAUGUGUGAGUGUAAACUAGUUAAGGGAAUUCGGCAAAUUAGUCCCGUAUCUUCGGUAUAAGGGAUCCCUAUAAUCGUAUUCGUAUGAGUGCGAUUUUAGGGCUCAGUGACAAAGGUGGUCCGACUGUUCAACAAAUACACAACUUUCUGCGAGGCCGUGAGGCUGUGUAUAGAAAGUGAUACCUGCCCAGUGCCAGUACUUUAAGCUUCGUUCCAACGGGGUGAAGAGCUGGUAAACGGCGGGAGUAACUAUAACUCUCUUAAGGUAGCGUAAUACCUUGUCGUUUGAAUGACGACUUGCAUGAAUGGUAUAACGAGAUUGCCACUGUCCCUAGCUAGUGUCUCCCGAACUUUACAUCCUGGUGCAAAGUCCAGGGAUUUCCAGUGGGAAGCGAAGACCCCGUGAAACUUUACUGUAGCCUGUCGUUGUGGUACGAUUUUUGAUAUAUAGCGUAAGUGGGAGCUGUUUGAAGCUAUCGGCGUCAGCUGAUGGAUAGGCACCAAUGUAACACCACUUAUUAGAGAUUGCAUCACUCACCUCGUAAGAGGGACACCGAUUGGUGGACAGUUUGGCUGGGGUGGCACGCUGUUGAAAAGAUAUCAAUAGCGCCCAAUGGUUGGCUCAUCCGGUUUAGAAAUCCGGAGUGGAGUGCAAGGGCAAAAGCCAGCCUGAUUGAAUUUAGACCAUCAAUACAUUCAAACGCGAAAGCGUGGCCUAGCGAACCUCUCUGCCUUCUUAAUGAGGGCGAGAGAUGACGGAAAAGUUACUCCGGGGAUAACUGGGUUGUCGCGCCCGAGAGUUC
rnacentral:rRNA from 1 species